AUCAUCACCUGCCCGCCCGAGGUACAAAGACAGCCCACAAAACAGCUGCUUUGAGCUGCUACCUAAGCCUCUGGAAAGGGUAUAUCUGUCCCAGACCAGACGUCGCUGAUUUACUGUACAGUUAUCUGCGAAUAUAUGCAUGGAGCUCAUUGGGGGUAUCAGGUGGUCGGUACCAGAGGCAGCGGCGAUCGACAGGUUGUACGCACGCAGCAUUGCCAGGCAAAAAUUAGCUGACUGCUAUGGAAGGCAGCCCAAACCGGAACAAACUGUUAUUUUGAACGCAUUGACGGGCUAACAGCUUGGUUUCUUUUAUUUUUGCAAAUUUUUACUCCAUAAAUGUAUUUGAUGUUAGGAAUAUCAUAAUAUUUGUAGUUGUACAUUUCGUUUUCUAUUAACUUGACUUGGUUUAACAUUUAUUGUGGCAAAUUGUGAUGUUUUGUCCCUUGAUUGAUAACACAAAGAAAAGUACAGACAAACGUUUGGUAUUCCAUUCUAUGCAAAAGUACUUCUGUAAUUAUUACAGGGUGCGAAUAUUGUUUAACAUUUAUUUGUAUUUUGUAUUUGUAUUUGAAUUACUGUUACUGUUACAUUUACGUUUUCAUUUUUGUACCGUUGGAAAUAUACGCUUUUGUUUGGUUAUUACUCGUAUUUGUUGUAAUUAAAUUACGUUUGCCAGUUUAGUUUACCCUGCCGCAUACAGUUUGUUUGAAAAAUAUAUGUAAAUACUAUGCCUAUCUUAUCCCAUUGAAUACUGAGA